AUUGAACGCUGGCGGCAGGCCUAACACAUGCAAGUCGAACGGUAACAGGAAGCAGCUUGCUGCUUUGCUGACGAGUGGCGGACGGGUGAGUAAUGUCUGGGAAACUGCCCGAUGGAGGGGGAUAACUACUGGAAACGGUAGCUAAUACCGCAUAACGUCGCAAGACCAAAGAGGGGGACCUUAGGGCCUCUUGCCAUCGGAUGUGCCCAGAUGGGAUUAGCUAGUAGGUGGGGUAACGGCUCACCUAGGCGACGAUCCCUAGCUGGUCUGAGAGGAUGACCAGCCACACUGGAACUGAGACACGGUCCAGACUCCUACGGGAGGCAGCAGUGGGGAAUAUUGCACAAUGGGCGCAAGCCUGAUGCAGCCAUGCCGCGUGUAUGAAGAAGGCCUUCGGGUUGUAAAGUACUUUCAGCGGGGAGGAAGGGAGUAAAGUUAAUACCUUUGCUCAUCGACGUUACCCGCAGAAGAAGCACCGGCUAACUCCGUG
rnacentral:rRNA from 1 species